rnacentral:lncRNA from 1 species
AUGACAUCAGCCCCACGUCGCCCUUUCAACAAAAAGACUUUCCCCAUCAUUCAUCCACUUGCAUGGAUUCUGCUGCCUUCUACAAGCAAGAUGGUUUUCAGAGCUAUAGAGCCAGCUCACAUCAAUGGGAGCCUGGACUCCAUACCCAUAGAUCCAGCUAAUUACCUGGCAUGUCACGUGAUGUCACACAGACAUCUAGAACUCCAGAGGCUCAGAUUGUACCUCAUCAUCUCCCCACCAACGCUGGCCCCUUCAGGCCCUACAGGCCCUCUCUCUGUGAAAGCUCCCAGCCUCUACCUCCCUGCCAGCCCCAUGCCCACUGAUGGCAGGGUCACCCCACACUAUUCUCUGCCCUCUCUCAGCCUCUCAUUCACCACUCAGCCCUUCAGGUUUGAUCUCAGGGACCUCAUCCUCUGCUCCCCCUUUCCAGUAUUCCACCUGUCUUCUCGGGAAGAGCGCUUGGUCCCAGAGCAAUCUGUUAACUCUGAUACCACACCCCUCCGCUCGCUAUUCCGAGCCAGACCGACCCUCCAACACCCAAGUCUGAUAGAGCCACUCCUCGUGAAGCAUCUUCAGUCGCUCCAGCUGACCCGCAGGACACCGUGGAAACCCCUUGCCAUAAACAGACAGCUCCCUAUGCCUGGAGUGGCAUCAUCAGGAUGGAACCAGGCUAUAGGGUCUGUGGUCAACCUCAUUACCGUACAGCUUCCCCGAGUGCUCCCUGCCAGCAAUGCUGUCUUCCUCGACAAAUAUCUCCUCACAUUUCCAGCCCAACACAGGAAACCCCUCUUCCAUGAAGCCUCUUCUGGCUUCCAACACAGAGCAGGACACUGCCGGUCUGGCUUCUGUUUCUCAUAAAGACCGUGUGCCUCUUCUGUUUCUCAUCCUGAUACCUGUAAUUCCUUAAUGCGUGUUUGUAUUUGUACAAACGUCAUAUCUCUCCUACCAGACUGUGAAUCCUCGAGAGUGGGGACAUGGUUUCCCACUCCUUGCAUCCCCGAUGCCGACCACAGUGUCAAGCACAUCACAAUAAUAAAUGUUUG